rnacentral:rRNA from 1 species
CGUACCAGUAAUAGCCCUUAACGGGGGUACACGAGUGGCGAACGGGUGAGUAACACGUGAGUAACCUGCCCACAACUUUGGGAUAACGCUAGGAAACUGGUGCUAAUACUGGAUAUGUGCUCCUGCUGCAUGGUGGGGGUUGGAAAGCUCCGGCGGUUGUGGAUGGACUCGCGGCCUAUCAGCUUGUUGGUGGGGUAGUGGCCUACCAAGGCGGCGACGGGUAGCCGGCCUGAGAGGGUGACCGGCCACAUUGGGACUGAGAUACGGCCCAGACUCCUACGGGAGGCAGCAGUGGGGAAUAUUGCACAAUGGGCGCAAGCCUGAUGCAGCAACGCCGCGUGCGGGAUGACGGCCUUCGGGUUGUAAACCGCUUUCAGCAGGGACGAAGCUUUUUGUGACGGUACCUGCAGAAGAAGCACCGGCUAACUACGUGCCAGCAGCCGCGGUGAUACGUAGGGUGCGAGCGUUGUCCGGAUUUAUUGGGCGUAAAGGGCUCGUAGGCGGUUGAUCGCGUCGGAAGUGGAAACUUGAUGCUUAACGUUGAGCGUGCUUUCGAUACGGGUUGACUUGAGGAAGGUAGGGGAGAAUGGAAUUCCUGGUGGAGCGGUGGAAUGCGCAGAUAUCAGGAGGAACACCAGUGGCGAAGGCGGUUCUCUGGACCUUUCCUGACGCUGAGGAGCGAAAGCGUGGGGAGCGAACAGGCUUAGAUACCCUGGUAGUCCACGCUGUAAACGGUGGGUACUAGGUGUGGGGUCCAUUCCACGGAUUCUGUGCCGUAGCUAACGCAUUAAGUACCCCGCCUGGGGAGUACGGCCGCAAGGCUAAAACUCAAAGGAAUUGACGGGGCCCCGCACAAGCGGCGGAGCAUGCGGAUUAAUUCGAUGCAACGCGAAGAACCUUACCUGGGUUUGACAUGGAUCGGGAGCUUCCAGAGAUGGUUGUGCCUCUUUUGGGGUCGGUUCACAGGUGGUGCAUGGCUGUCGUCAGCUCGUGUCGUGAGAUGUUGGGUUAAGUCCCGCAACGAGCGCAACCCUCGUCACUGUGCCAGCAAUUCGGUUGGGGAACUCAGUGAGACGCGGGGUCACUCGGAGAGUGGGGAUGACGUCAGUCAUCAUGCC